GAUGAACGCUGGCGGUGUGCCUAAUACAUGCAAGUCGAGCGAAUGGAUUAAGAGCUUGCUCUUAUGAAGUUAGCGGCGGACGGGUGAGUAACACGUGGGUAACCUGCCCAUAAGACUGGGAUAACUCCGGGAAACCGGGACUAAUACCGGAUAACAUUUUGAACCGCAUGGUUCGAAAUUGAAAGGCGGCUUCGGCUGUCACUUAUGGAUGGACCCGCGUCGCAUUAGCUAGUUGGUGAGGUAACGGCUCACCAAGGCAACGAUGCGUAGCCGACCUGAGAGGGUGAUCGGCCACACUGGGACUGAGACACGGCCCAGACUCCUACGGGAGGCAGCAGUAGGGAAUCUUCCGCAAUGGACGAAAGUCUGACGGAGCAACGCCGCGUGAGUGAUGAAGGCUUUCGGGUCGUAAAACUCUGUUGUUAGGGAAGAACAAGUGCUAGUUGAAUAAGCUGGCACCUUGACGGUACCUAACCAGAAAGCCACGGCUAACUACGUGCCAGCCGCCGCCGUAA
rnacentral:rRNA from 1 species